rnacentral:rRNA from 1 species
CAAGUCGAGUGCGCGCCUGUAGCAAUACAGGUGGCGCACGGCGCACGGGUGCGUAACACGUGGGUAAUCUGCCCUCUGAUGGGGAAUAACCCGCCGAAAGGCGGGCUAAUACCGCAUAACAUUCCUUGGAUUUCGGUCCGGGGACUCAAAGGCGUAAGUCGUCGGAGGAGGAGCCCGCGCACGAUUAGCUAGUUGGUAGGGUAAUGGCCUACCAAGGCUUUGAUCGUUAGCUGGUCUGAGAGGAUGGCCAGCCACACUGGAACUGAGACACGGUCCAGACUCCUACGGGAGGCAGCAGUGGGGAAUCUUGCACAAUGGGCGAAAGCCUGAUGCAGCGACGCCGCGUGGGGGAUGAAGCAUUUCGGUGUGUAAACCCCUUUCGAUCCGGACGAAUACCUCGCAAGAGGGGUGACGGUACGGAUAUAAGAAGCCCCGGCUAACUACGUGCCAGCAGCCGCGGUAAGACGUAGGGGGCCAGCGUUGUUCGGAAUUACUGGGUGUAAAGGGUUCGUAGGCGGUGUGGCAAGUUGGGAGUGAAAUCUCUGGGCUCAACCCAGAGGCUGCUUCCAAAACUGCUGUGCUUGAGUGUGAGAGAGGCGCGUGGAAUUGCAGGUGUAGCGGUGAAAUGCGUAGAUAUCUGCAGGAACACCCGUGGCGAAAGCGGCGCGCUGGAUCACUACUGACGCUGAGGAACGAAAGCUAGGGGAGCAAACAGGAUUAGAUACCCUGGUAGUCCUAGCCCUAAACGAUCAGGACUUGGGGUGCCACCCGUUCGGGUGUCGUCCCGGAAGCUAACGCGUUAAGUCCUGCACCUGGGGAGUAC